UCUAACUUAAGCAAUGCAAACCCAACCUACUUUUGCAUCCUUGCAAGCCUUUACUUGCUCCAGUAUGAAUAAGUGUCUUCAAAAACAU
rfam:Lysinibacillus manganicus DSM 26584 contig10, whole genome shotgun sequence.